UAUAAUGUAAAUAUUAAUAAAUGUUUUAUCUAUAUAUCUAUCUUCCGUCCGAUCACCGAAGUUAAACAACGUCGGGCGCGGUUAGUACUUGGAUGGGUUACCGCUUGGGAACACCGCGUGCCGUUGUCU
rfam:Dendroctonus ponderosae Seq01038978, whole genome shotgun sequence.